CCUACGGGGGGCAGCAGUGGGGAAUUUUGCGCAAUGGGCGAAAGCCUGACGCAGCGACGCCGCGUGAGGGACGAAGGUCUUCGUGAUCGUAAACCUCUGUCAGGAAGGAUUAAAUGCACAGAUGUUAAUAACACCUGUGCUUGACUUAACUUCCAGAGGAAGCCCCGGCUAACUACGUGCCAGCAGCCGCGGU
rnacentral:rRNA from 1 species